rnacentral:rRNA from 1 species
GUUAUCGUUUAUUUGAUAGUACCUUACUACAUGGAUAACCGUGGUAAUUCUAGAGCUAAUACAUGCUAAAAACCUCGACUUCGGAAGGGGUGUAUUUAUUAGAUAAAAAACCAAUGCCCUUCGGGGCUCCCUGGUGAUUCAUAAUAACUUAACGAAUCGCAUGGCCUUGUGCCGGCGAUGGUUCAUUCAAAUUUCUGCCCUAUCAACUUUCGAUGGUAGGAUAGUGGCCUACCAUGGUUUCAACGGGUAACGGGGAAUUAGGGUUCUAUUCCGGAGAAGGAGCCUGAGAAACGGCUACUACAUCCAAGGAAGGCAGCAGGCGCGCAAAUUACCCAAUCCCGACACGGGGAGGUAGUGACAAUAAAUACUGAUACAGGGCUCUUUUGAGUCUUGUAAUUGGAAUGAGUACAAUUUAAAUACCUUAACGAGGAACAAUUGGAGGGCAAGUCUGGUGCCAGCAGCCGCGGUAAUUCCAGCUCCAAUAGCGUAUAUUAAAGUUGUUGCAGUUAAAAAGCUCGUAGUUGAACCUUGG